UAGGGAAUCUUCCACAAUGGACGCAAGUCUGAUGGAGCAACGCCGCGUGAGUGAAGAAGGUUUUCGGAUCGUAAAGCUCUGUUGUUGGUGAAGAAGGAUAGAGGCAGUAACUGGUCUUUAUUUGACGGUAAUCAACCAGAAAGUCACGGCUAACUUCGUGCCAG
rnacentral:rRNA from 1 species